rnacentral:rRNA from 1 species
UACGGGGGGUGCAAGCGUUGUUCGGAAUUAUUGGGCGUAAAGCGCGUGUAGGCGGUUUGAUUAGUCUGAUGUGAAAGCCCUGGGCUCAACCCAGGAAGUGCAUUGGAUACUGUCAGACUUGAAUACGGGAGAGGGUAGUGGAAUUCCUAGUGUAGGAGUGAAAUCCGUAGAUAUUAGGAGGAACACCGGUGGCGAAGGCGGCUACCUGGACCGAUAUUGACGCUGAGGUGCGAAAGCGUGGGGAGCAAACAGG